AAGUCCAAGGUCACACAGCCAAGUCCAUCCGAGCAGCACAGGAUCCAGGUUUCCUGCCCCAGUGCUCUUUUUGCAGCCGGUUCCACCUGUUUUCAUACUAUCUCGGUUUACCUUCCAGCUACACGCCUGCAAUCAGAAACAGGAAGUCUGAGAGUGUGUGUGGAGCCAAAGAGGGGACAGCAGUGGUUAGAAGCAAGGCACAAGUCAUACCUACAUUCAAGGACUGGGAAUAAAAGUUUUUCAUCUGCAUGAGUAAUUGUUUCCUGUUUUAUCCAGAGAGACAACAGAUUUACAUCCCAGACACAUUCACACUGGGCCAAGAGCAGCUGCCAUUGCAGAUGCCAGUCACGUCCUUUUUUUCCCUCCUCCUUCUUGGAGUUACAACAGAAGCUGGGGAGGUGAGAGUGCAGAAAGGACAUGGAUGAAGCAGGGAGGCACGUGCCUGUCUCAUUCACCUGUGGAUCUGCUGCAUCCAGGACCAUGCCGGCACAAAGUGGGAGCCCGAGGAAUAUUUAUUGAAGAAAUGAAAGGUGACAGAAGGCAGAAGGAGGGAGAUUCCAAGAAGAGCUCCCCAUCCAUCCUGCUGAGAGCUACCUCCACCACUCAAUGAACCCCCUGCAUUCAUCCUUCAAGUUUAUGUGUGACCUGAUUCUUCCUGGACACUGGACAAAGACCUAGAUACCUAGAGGGUCCACUGAACUGUCUAACACUUAAGUAAUCCACGGACAGCAAGGCUAACAGAACACUGUAACAUGUGCCCACUUGGACUCUGGGAGUCAUAGACACCCACCCAUAGAUGCUACUGUGGGGCCGGAGCCCAAAAAGUGCUCACCCUGGCUCCUGCACCUGCCCAUCUGCGUGCUCCCCCUGUGGUAAGGGGUUUGAGGAUGUGGUGGCUGAACAUAAGAGCUAUGCCCCUGUCACACGUCAUGGGACAGGGGUCAGGGAACUCUCCCAUUUCACUUCCAAAUAUUCCAGGUCCCCUUUUCAUUUGGGAGCCAGAGUCCAGUGGAGACAGAGAUAGAAAGCCUGAAAUAGGAUCCAGGCAAUAUAAACCUACAUGCUGUAAGC